rnacentral:misc_RNA from 1 species
CCGAGUUUUCAACUCCCAAACCCCUGUGAACAUACCUUACCGUUGCUUCGGCGGCGCGCCCCCAGGGCGCCCGCCGGGGACCACCAAACUCUUGUUUUCCGAACUGGAUUCUGAGCAGCCGCAAGGCAAACAAAUACAUUA